ACGCUCGACACCUACGGGAGGCAGCAGUUGGGAAUAUUGGACAAUGGAGGAAACUCUGAUCCAGUGACGCCGCGUGAAGGAAGAAGGUCUUCGGAUUGUAAACUUAUUUUGUCAGGGAAGAAAAAUGACUGUACCUGAAGAAAAAGCACCGGCUAACUACGUGCCGGCAGCCGCGGUAAUCUGAGGCGGGCUGGCAAGGC
rnacentral:rRNA from 1 species